rnacentral:tmRNA from 1 species
GGGGUUGACUUGGCUUCGACAGGAGCAGGUGAUUCCUGGUUGCAUGUCGGUUUGGGCAUAUCGUUAAUCUGCCCACAAGCAAUAAACGCAAACAAUACAAAUUACCGCCCAGCUUACGCAUACGCAGCGUAAGUUUAACCGAACAUACUUGGGCUGCUCUCACCGCUGACGCCAUAUAGGCGGAUUUUGAGAGUAUCAUAACCUUUAUGGCUAUACUUACAGGUUGCCUCACCUGUAAGCGAAUCUUUGAGGCUCGCACGGUAUAGCUUUGGACAUUGCGCGAAACCGUGUUAAAUUUAGCAAUGUCGUCUAAGCAUGUAGACGCCAGGAGUUGCUUGUUUCUGGACAGGGGUUCGAUUCCCCUCAACUCCACCA